AGGGGCAUAGUUCAACGGUAGAACAGCGGUCUCCAAAACCGUCGAUGUGGGUUCGAUUCCUACUGCCCCUGC
rnacentral:tRNA from 1 species